CAAGUUUGCCUCCUGUGUUCGGUUCAUGUUUGCGUGAAAAGCUUGUCUGAACCAUGUCUGAGUAUGAACAAGAAAGUUUCAGUCGGCGGCAAUUAAACAGCGCUGCGCUUUGCAGCUGGCGAGGAAGCAUUCUGCACCCAUCUACACCAAUCGAAUUCCAGAAUUCCAACGCCCUGGUUCUUACUCUAGUCUAGCAUAUUAACUAACUAGUAAACUUGCCUUCGUUGCUGUGAAGACCGGAAACCUGCACUGCAUUACAGGGUGUGUCGGAGCGUGUGGCCUCCCAGGGCGAGACACACAUUCUAAUGUGCCUUGUGCAGCACCUCCCUCUCGUGCUCCCUCUUCUCAGACAGCUGCUUCAAGAUCUGGGCCUCCUGGAACUGCAGGCUGAAAGAGAGAAGGCAGGCCGUGAGGAUGAGGAAGGGCUCGUAGACGCUCGUCCCGUGAGUCACACAGCCCGACAGGCUCGCUGGAGCUCGGAAUGUUGCGAGGGAACACACCAACAGCCUGGAAAACAGUGAUAAAAUACAAGCUGUUUGGACAUGACUUGAGCAGGGCCUGCUCGUGAACCCCUUGGACCCCGAAUGGAGCUCUGACGGGCCUCUCACUCCACGUGUCACAGUGAAUGAUCAUUAUACCAGACUGCGGCUGGUUAGCUGAGGUCAGGACUGGGCAGCGGUGCGGUGUGUCUAGACCUGGGUAUUUAUAAAUAAAAGCCUUUUGGCCAGUGCUGAUAAGAAUUUAGCCUCUCCGCAAUACCUCACCCUCCUGACGAAAAGCAAUAUCCGUCUGCUUGGUCUCAUGGCCUUUAAAACUGUCAAUAUGAUAAUUAAAGCGAGAAGAUUAAGGAGGUGAGAAGGUGGGGACGACGGGCAGAUCUGAAGAAUUUCAUUAAAGGUAAUUUAGAUAAACCAGAUGUGUGGAACAGCAGCAAGGUCACCCACUGAGUAAAAGGCCUUAUGCCCCAGAAGUGCUAGAUAGCACCACAGACUGGAAGAACCAGUGGUACUGAAUUGGAUUUGCAAUUGCAGAUGUUGCAUCCAGAAGGAAGGGAACCAGAACGGAACCCUGCAGUACGUAGGACCGUAACCGACGGUGACCCGUUUUCACGAAACCGCGUCAUUCCUCCGAUCGAGCUUCAGAACUCGGCGAGCGCACGUAUGUGCAAACGUCGCAGGGCAAACGUUCGAUAUUUCAUCCCGUCGGUUCCCGUUUGAUCUCCCCGUGGCGUUUUGUCAUUUCCUGUGAGGGGGGGGAUCGAUGGCGACGAGGGGCAGAGGGCGCGGAGCGGAAAUUAGCGCUGCGACCUCGAGGACCUCAGUUUGCAACGCCACGAGGGCCUUAUCUUUGGGCGAACCUUCCGAGACGCAUCGGCACAUUUUUUUCUCGCCUAGCCAACAUUUGUCUGGUUGGGUGACCCGCCACGGCCGCAGGAAGCCGUCUUUCAUCCUUACGUUCCUUCGCCAAAGCCAAACCUGCGGCGAAUGACCGCGGCGAGUACAGCGGCAAUGUGUGAUGUGCGCUUCCCAUACCUACCGCUCCUGUGCUAUGAGCACAGUGGAGCAGGCUGCUUCAGUAUGGGAAUGUGGGCUGUAUUUUACACAAUAGGCAAACCAUGGUUAAAACACCAAAAUAUCAGUGCUGAGGAAGUGAAGGUCACGGGCCAGUUGUUUAUUUUCUACCGGCCUCUUUAAUAUCCUGGCUCUGCCACACCGGGUCCACCCUCUGUGUCCCUGUUCCACAGCCUUUCAGUGCUCUUGCAAUAUUAAUUACUACAGCCUGUUGAGGUGGAUUGAUUCUGUGUUGUUCACAUACGAGUGGAAAGGACUUGCUAAGUAGCUGUUGUUUGGGGGAAUGGCGAACAAUGAGGCCAGGCUGUGGCUGGCUGUCCAUUGAAACCUCUCAAUUGUCUUCUUGGCCACCAACCCCGCUGUUGAAAUGUCAGAGAGAAAAAACCUAUUGAUUAAUUGAUGCGCUCUGAGAAAUAUUGGCUUUCAGUUUGUUCAGGCCUGGGGAUACUUGAAUUCUCAGUGUCUAAAUGAUUUCAAAUCCAGUAACCCUUUCUAAAGAAUACCCAUCCCCAAAUUUUAUCUAACAGGCCUGAAAGAAAAAAGAAAACAAAACCUGGAAGAAACACCAUUUUGAUUUCAUAGCCACACUCACAGUCACUGGACAAUGGAUCAGUCUGCAUGUGAAACAAAACAUGCCUCCAAUUACACCACUAAAGAUCACUUGUCCUUUACAACUGCGCCCGUAAUCAUAGAACUAAAGGUCAGUCAACCUUUACCACAACUGCUCUCAGAAAAUGGACUACUUUAAUCAGGCGUAGACUCAUGAAUACGUGACAGGAACUCACUCUUUUCUGGCCAUGCUAAGGUUUAGUGGACAUGCAGGUGCUGUGCUUUUAUUUAACACGCAUAUUAUGUUAAAUUUCCCAUAUUAUUGAGAAAUGAAAACAGUCAAAUGUCCCCCAUGCAGUAAUACGCACAACUAUUACCUUUAGAAUUCCUAUAGGUCGCAGCGUAGUUAGUAGCACUACAGCCCAACCUGCACGAUCUUUCAUUAAGCCUUUUAAAAUGGCUGAUCCCCUUUAUCCCUUCAUUCCAAUUCUGGAAGCGAGUGAGGCAGAUGAAAAGAAACAACCUAUUUCAAAUCUUAAUGAGAGGUGAAAAUGAAAGCCUUUUGAUCGUUACCCUCCGUGAACACCAGAGCGCUUUAAUGACCAAUUUCAUCCACAAAUGGCUUGGGACUGACCUGCCAGGGCACCGCCCCUCCCCCCCCCCCUUCGACCUGUAAAUGUGGACAUUUUUACUCUCUCUUUCUGUCUCAGGUAAGUGAAAAUUCACGAGGCAUGAUGUGCCUGAAACAUAGGCCGACUGCUGUCGCACACCACAUAAAUAACCCUGAAAGUCACAAUGCCAGUCCUGGAGCAUAUUAACCCACUUUAAAUAGCAUUUGAGAUACCAGUGGUAGGAGCUGCAGGACAAAGUUAAGCACUUUCCCUGCCAUUCUGAAGUAUAGUGCAUUUUUAUCAUCCUGCUGUGUUGCCCUAUAACUUGUCUUAGUCUAAAGCAUUCAGGACGCUAUUGUAUAGCCUUCAUAAAUGCCAGGGUUUUUUUUUUUUCUAGAAUGGAUCAACAGUAAGUCAUGAGACCAAAUGCAGAGCGGUGAUUACUGGGAAAUUUGUAUUUUUUAAACCUUAUUUAUUUUCUUUCAUGCACAGUUUGGCCACAAUUU